rnacentral:Y_RNA from 1 species
AGCUGGUCUGAUGGUAGUGGGUUAUCAGGACUUACUAACAUUAGUGUCACUAAAGUUGGUAUUCAAACCCCCACUGCUAAAUUUGACUGGCUAAAA